UACGAACCAUUAUUUACUAACAGGAGAAGCAUAAAUUCAUAACACAAUUUAGAAAAAAACUUCUUUUGAAAUUUAUGUUCUAAAAUAAAUCCAAAAAUUGUAUUUUUGUCAAGAAAACGUAAAUAGACAUAUGUGUAUGUUCUACGAUCAAGCAAUAUGUCAAAGGUUAUAGAGGAUCAACCAGUCGCAAUAAAUAUGAGAAACACUGAAGAAACUGACAUUACUGGUCAGCUGGAAAUUGGACAAACAUCGAAAACAAUUAAGCGAAAAAUCUCACCUGCUGAACUUGGGGCUUGUUUAUUCCUUGGGAUAAUUUUUUUUCCUCCAUUAGCAGUUCUUUAUUUCACAAAAAGUUGUACUGAUACAUUUCUCACGUUAGGUGCCACCUUGCUUGGCUGGUGGCCAGGGAUGUGUGUGGCGUAUUAUAAAAUUGUCGCUGUUUCUGAACAGGAGAAUAAUGAUUCGGGUUGUUGUGAUGGUAGGCAUUGUGAUCCUGAUCCUUGUUGCUGUUGCUGUUGCGGUGGAUGCGACAUUUUGGAUUGUGACUGUUCGGGAUGCGAUUGUGAUUAAGAAAUAAGUGUUAAUAGCAGGAUUAUUUUUGUGAAUAAAUGGAACACCAAUUCCAAUUGAUAGACUA